CAUUGCCAUUAUAAGAGAACAAAGGGGUGUUUGUGGUGAGUUCUAGCACCUCUUUUUCUAGAAUAAUAGCACUGAUUGAGACUCACAAUAUGCCUUGGAGAGAAGUUGUAAUUUAAUGAACAGUGACACGCCUACUCUCCAUUCUGAGCAUAUACAUAUGGUGAUCAUUAUAUCAAUAUUCCUUAAUUCUUUGCAGAUUUGAAUUCCUUCAGUGUACAAUUCUGGCUCAUUAAUUUACUGGUCCCUACCCCCCAAAAAAAAACACCCAUUCACAAGGCUACCCCUAUUUCCCUCUUCCAUCUGGUGUACAACAAAAGAGAAAAUCAAUUAAACUUGUCUAAAGAUGGGAAUAUAAAUCUCUUAAAUAGCAAUUGUAUUUCCCAUAAUGCAGAUAUAUUUAUCAUUAAAUAGAUAGGUCAUAUAGUCACGGACAAAUAAGCUUUUAUUCUGCUUCUGCAUUGAUUUUUUUAAAAACCCUACCUCUAACCCACUGGCUUCCAUUUAUGUAAGAAAACAGCAUUUGCCAUCAAAGCCUUUCCUUGAUAUGAAACCACAGAGAAACAACCCAUUAAGCUGAGUGACUCUCAGUCAAAUACCACUCUGUCAUGUGUAGUUUGUGCACAAAACAUGGUUUCGUAUAGUCGUGAUUUGAUAAUAGGUUUGUACAUUGUGUGAUAUUUUAUAACCAUUAUCCUCUCUAAUAGGUCAGAUGCACUUUGCUGAAAAUGUCUUGGUACAUAGUGAGUGGAAUUUAAAAAGCUGAAACCGAUUCCAGAUCUUGUUCAUUUUGGAGAGACCCCUGGGAAGAGGCCCUCCUGCUGUAAAACUCCCAGAUGCAAAGGGAUAAGGCACAGUAGGAAAAGCAGCAUACCAUCAAGCAGCUAUAGGUGGGGAAAAGAACCACAGAACACACCGAUUUGACGGUCCAGUAUUGCACCAGUGCUAGACAAAGGGACUGUUCCAGUUGUCCUACGGAUGAGAUGCAAGGGACCAGAAGUGGCUCCACCUUCUCAACCCUGUUCCCAUCUUUCCUCCCAGAUCCUUGUGUAGCUUGCUAAAUAAGAGCAUCACAGGCUGCUUUUAUCAUUUGCGCUGCAAAUGAAGUUUUCAGCUCUGCAGCAUCUUUUCACAGCUCUUUGCUUGCAGUUCAAAAGCAAUGGCAAUGAUUGUUUUCUAGCUGGAAUUAAGGAGGCACGUGUAAGAGCAUUCAGGGAUCCUCCGAAAUCUAAAGCGGUGGCUCUGCUAGCUGAAAUAUACAAAGAGGGGGUUACAGCUAGAACAAAUGAAGCAUUGCAAUCAUUUGAAGGUGCAACUCUAAGGGACAUUGUCCCAGGGACCAUAGGAUACAAUUGGCUUCCUCUCUCCAUUGGUGGAAAGGGAGGUCUACCCUCAUAUGCCGCCUCAGGAUGACAUCAGAAAUUUCCAUUGCCAUAGAUACUGCAAUGGCAAUAAGACCCCAAAGGAGCUCUUCCAAUGUUGUGUAAUGGUUGGAUUGGUUGAUGCUUUGGAUCUACUUGGACCCAAGGGCCUCUUGUUUCCUGGACAUGCCCCAGGAAUGGGAGGAGAGUAUUACCAUUACCCUGAAACUGGAGCUCUCGUUUUCCAUCCUAUUGGAACCAAUGUGUGUGUGUGUGUGUGUGUGUGUGUGUGUGUGUGAGCAAUUGGCAAAGAAAACAAACAACGUAGGAAAAUGCCACUUUUUGACUGUUUAUCCACUAUGGACAACCCAAUUUGGAUGACUUUGUUAACUAUAUAAUCAGCAUCAUUUAUCAUCACCAAUGAAUAGGGAGCUGUCGUCAUCAUGAACAAAACUGACUACAUUCAGGAGGCUCACAGACAACUUUCCAAUAGCGCCUUUUACAUAAAAUUGGACUCAGACCCCACACAAGAAUACAAAAAAGAACCGAACAAG